rnacentral:rRNA from 1 species
UACGUAGGGUGCGAGCGUUAUUCGGAUUUACUGGGCGUAAAGCGCAUGUAGGCGGUUUUAUAAGUCUGAUGUGAAAGCCCUGGACUCAAUCCAGGAAGUGCAUUGGAUACUGUAAGACUAGAGUAUAGGAGAGGUUGGCGGAAUUCCUGGUGUAGAGGUGAAAUUCGUAGAUAUCAGGAGGAACAACAGAGGCGAAGGCGGCUAACUGGACUAUAACUGACGCUGAGAUGCGAAAGUGUGGGGAGCAAACAGG